CUAUUUUAGAGGAAAAUAUAGAGAUAGAAAAUAUAGAAAUAGAAAUAGGGGUGGGUUGGAGAUGGUCUUAUAAACAACUAGUGUUUAUCUUUGGAUUAUAGCAAUCAAUCAAGUGACAAUGAUUUACCAACAUAGUAACAAAAUCUUCAUCUUUUUAUAAUCUUCAUCUUUUUAUAUAUAAAAUUGGUUCUUAGAAGGUUAACCUUUAGCCAUAAGAUGAUCUAUAGCUCUAUGAGUUUGCUAUGAUAUGACAGACAUGAAUAACCAAAGGCCAAUGAUCGACGAAAUAAUCAAUGAAAAAUACAAUGUUUUUGAGCAAUUGUGUUUAUGGAAGACAAAAAUUUAUCAUAUAAAACUAUAGCAGAGUAAUCGAAAAGAUGUGUGUAAUAGUAAAACAUUAUAAUACAGUGAAGUAGGCUGAAGCUCACAAGUAUGUAAGAACCUUCUUGAUCACAAAGCAGCAAGCCUUCCGACGGUGUACCAAUUUUAUUCUCCUGAUGGUAAGCUCCUUCCUCUUUUCUGCUCUUGUCUAGUUUGCUUAAGAUCUUUUUACAAUCUCAUUUUCUAAUCACAGGGCCUCUGUACGGAACUCUCCAUAUCACAAAGUUAUCUGGGGGUUGAUACUCUUCAAGCCAUGUCACAUUUGAGAUCACUUCUCCGUUCAUCACUUCAAUCUCACCUGGUUUCACAGACCAUCAUCAUCAUCACCGCCGCAGAGCAAUUCGAUCCAUCAACGCAAACCACGAGAGUGAGCCCCAAGACAGUGGACGACGCAAUCAGCUCUCUACUCAAAUGGAAAACCGAGAAAUCAAAAACAGAGAAGCCUCAGCUCCUCGAGCAAGACGAGUUCGUCUACCUAACCGUCACUUUGAAGAAGAUCCCGCAAACAAGCCGCACGAACGCUCACCGAAUCCGAUUACCUCACCCGCUUAUCAACACGGAGGAAGAGUCCCCCGAGCUUUGCCUCAUCAUCGACGACAGACCUAAAAGCGGCCUCUCCAAAGAAGACGCGGUUAAAAAGAUCGAAUCGGAGAAUAUUCCGAUUACCAAAGUGCUCAAGCUCUCGAAGCUCAAGACGGACUACAAGGCCUUCGAAGCGAAGAGGAAGCUUUUCGACUCGUACGAUAUGUUCUUCGCGGAUCGGAGAGUGAUUCCUAUGCUUCCGAGGCUGAUCGGGAAGAAGUUCUUUGUUCAGAAGAAGAUUCCUUUGCCGGUGGAUCUGAAGCAUAAGAACUGGAAGCAGCAGAUUGAGAAGGGAUGCGGCUCCGCUAUGUUUUUCGUUAGCACGGGGACGUGUAGUGUUGUGAAAGUUGGGAAGUUGUCGAUGGAUAGCGACGAGGUUGUUGAGAAUGUGAUGGCGACGCUAAACGGCGUCGUUGAGGUGUUGCCUAGUCAGUGGAAGUACGUUCGGUCUUUGCAUUUGAAGCUGUCGGAGAGCGUUUCGUUGCCGAUUUAUCAGUGUGUGCCCGAUUUGAAGCUGAAGAUUGAUGAUUUUGAGGAGGAGAGUGGUGUUACGGAAGAGGAGAAGAAGAAGAAAGGGAAGAGUGAUGGUGUGAAGGGGAAAAAGAAGAAGGGUAGGAUUCAUGAGGUUAGAUGUAUGGAUAGUAAUGUAUCUGAGGUGCUUGAUGAAGAUGAGGUUAGUAUUGAGUCUGGUGGUGUUAAGGAGAAGAAUAAGAGAAAGAAGGAGGGAAGUGUGGUUGAUGAUGAUGCUGAGAAACCGAAGAAGAAAGUUGCCAAGAGUAAGCUGAAAGAGAAGAGAAAUAGUGGGUUAAAGCCGGAGAAGAAGACAAUGGUUACAAAAGGUUUGAAACAAAAGAGGAAGAAGACUGUGCUUAGAAGUUAAGGCAAUGGAACAUCAGAGGAUUAGAUCUUUAAGGUUUUUGCAUCUUUUUCAAUUAAGUAAUUGUAUGUUUUAUCGUAAUGCUGAUGAUAUUUUAGGUUCUCUUAUAUCGUCUACUGCUUCUCGUGUUGUUUGGUGGAGGAAACAUACUUAUGUUACCAGUUUUGAUUUUUUCUUAUUUAACUUAUUUUGUCAGAGCAUCUCCUAGGUAAACUCUAUAUUUUCUUUUAAAAUAGAGAUUUUGUGAAAAUGCUCUAAAGUAUGCCUCUAUAAUAGAGUUUUUCUAUUUUAGAAGAAAAUAUAGAGGAAAGUUACUUUUGUAGAAAUAUCAUAUCUCUAUAUUUUCUCUUAUAAAUAGAGAAACUCUAUUAUAGAGUAUACAUUGGAGCAUUUUCACCUCUAUAAUAGAGUUUUUCUAUUUUAGAGGAAAAUAUAGAGAUAGAAAAUAUAGAAAUAGAAAUAGGGGUGGGUUGGAGAUGGUCUUAUAAACAACUAGUGUUUAUCUUUGGAUUAUAGCAAUCAAUCAAGUGACAAUGAUUUACCAACAUAGUAACAAAAUCUUCAUCUUUUUAUAAUCUUCAUCUUUUUAUAUAUAAAAUUGGUUCUUAGAAGGUUAACCUUUAGCCAUAAGAUGAUCUAUAGCUCUAUGAGUUUGCUAUGAUAUGACAGACAUGAAU
rnacentral:lncRNA from 1 species